rnacentral:rRNA from 1 species
UACGUAGGGGGCUAGCGUUGUCCGGAAUCAUUGGGCGUAAAGCGCGUGUAGGCGGCCCGGUAAGUCCGCUGUGAAAGUCGGGGGCUCAACCCUCGGAUGCCGGUGGAUACUGUCGGGCUCGAGUGCGGAAGAGGCGAGUGGAAUUCCUGGUGUAGCGGUGAAAUGCGCAGAUAUCAGGAGGAACACCAAUUGCGAAGGCAGCUCGCUGGGACGUUACUGACGCUGAGGAGCGAAAGCCAGGGGAGCAAACGGG